rnacentral:lncRNA from 1 species
GGCGAAGGAGGCGGCGUGCCAGGCGCAGGGCUGGGAGGCGCAGGCGACGGCGGGGGCACACCCGGCGUGGGGCUGGGCGGCUCCGGCGAAGGCGGCGGAGUACCAGGCGCAGGGCUGGGAGGCGCAGGCGACGGCGGGGGUACACCCGGACCGGGGCUGGGCGGCUCCGGCGAAGGCGGCGGCGUGCCAGGCGCAGGGCUGGGAGGCGCAGGCGACGGCGGGGGCACGCCCGGCGCGGGGCUGGGCGGCUCCGGCGAAGGAGGCGGCGUGCCAGGCGCAGGGCUGGGAGGCGCAGGCGACGGCGGGGGCACACCCGGUCCGGGGCUGGGCGGCUCCGGCGAAGGCGGCGGCGUGCCAGGCGCAGGGCUGGGAGGCGCAGGCGACGGCGGGGGCACACCCGGCGCGGGGCUGGGCGGCUCCGGCGAAGGCGGCGGCGUGCCAGGCGCAGGGCUGGGAGGCGCAGGCGACGGCGGGGGCACACCCGGCGCGGGGCUGGGCGGCUCCGGCGAAGGCGGCGGCGUGCCAGGCGCAGGGCUGGGAGGCGCAGGCGACGGCGGGGGCACACCCGGCGCGGGGCUGGGCGGCUCCGGCGAAGGCGGUGGCGUGCCAGGCGCAGGGCUGGGAGGCGCAGGCGACGGCGGGGGCACACCCGGCGCGGGGCUAGGCGGCUCUGGCGAAGGCGGCGGCGUACCAGGCGCAGGGCUGGGAGGCGCAGGCGACGGCGGGGGCACACCCGGACCGGGGCUGGGCGGCUCCGGCGAAGGUGGCGGCGUGCCAGGCGCGGGGCUGGGAGGCGCAGGCGACGGCGGGGGCACACCCGGCGCGGGGCUGGGCGGCUCCGGCGAAGGCGGCGCAGGGCUGGGAGGCGCAGGGCUGGGCGGCUCCGGCGAAGGCGGCGGCGUGCCAGGCGCAGGGCUGGGAGGCGAAGGCGAAGGCGGGGGCACACCCGGCGCGGGGCUGGGCGGCUCCGGCGAAGGCGGCGGCGUGCCAGGCGCAGGGCUGGGAGGCGCAGGCGACGGCGGGGGCACACCCGGCGCGGGGCUGGGCGGCUCCGGCGAAGGUGGCGGCGUGCCAGGCGCAGGGCUGGGAGGCGCAGGCGACGGCGGGGGUACACCCGGACCGGGGCUGGGCGGCUCCGGCGAAGGCGGCGGCGUGCCAGGCGCAGGGCUGGGAGGCGCAGGCGACGGCGGGGGCACACCCGGCGCGGGGCUGGGCGGCUCCGGCGAAGGUGGCGGCGUGCCAGGCGCAGGGCUGGGAGGCGCAGGCGACGGCGGGGGCACACCCGGCGCGGGGCUGGGCGGCUCCGGCGAAGGCGGCGGCGUGCCAGGCGCAGGGCUGGGAGGCGCAGGCGACGGCGGGGGCACGCCCGGCGCGGGGCUGGGCGGCUCCGGCGAAGGCGGCGGCGUGCCAGGCGCAGGGCUGGGAGGCGCAGGCGACGGCGGGGGCACGCCCGGACCGGGGCUGGGCGGCUCCGGCGAAGGCGGCGGCGUGCCAGGCGCAGGGCUGGGAGGCGCAGGCGACGGCGGGGGCACACCCGGCGCGGGGCUGGGCGGCUCCGGCGAAGGCGGCGGAGUACCAGGCGCAGGGCUGGGAGGGGCAGGCGACGGCGGGGGCACACCCGGCGCGGGGCUGGGCGGCUCCGGCGAAGGCGGCGGCGUGCCAGGCGCAGGGCUGGGAGGCGCAGGGCGACGGCGGGGGCACACCCGGCGCGGGGCUGGGCGGCUCCGGCGAAGGCGGCGGCGUGCCAGGCGCAGGGCUGGGAGGCGCAGGCGACGGCGGGGGCACACCCGGCGCGGGGCUGGGCGGCUCCGGCGAAGGUGGCGGCGUGCCAGGCGCAGGGCUGGGAGGCGCAGGCGACGGCGGGGGCACACCCGGACCGGGGCUGGGCGGCUCCGGCGAAGGCGGCGGCGUGCCAGGCGCAGGGCUGGGAGGCGCAGGCGACGGCGGGGGCACACCCGGCGCGGGGCUGGGCGGCUCCGGCGAAGGCGGCGGCGUGCCAGGCGCAGGGCUGGGAGGUGCAGGCGACGGCGGGGGCACACCCGGCGCGGGGCUGGGCGGCUCCGGCGAAGGCGGUGGCGUGCCAGGCGCAGGGCUGGGAGGCGCAGGCGACGGCGGGGGCACACCCGGCGCGGGGCUAGGCGGCUCUGGCGAAGGCGGCGCAGGGCUGGGAGGCGCAGGGCUGGGAGGCGCAGGCGACGGCGGGGGCACACCCGGUGCGGGGCUGGGCGGCUCCGGCGAAGGCGGCGGAGUACCAGGCGCAGGGCUGGGAGGCGCAGGCGACGGCGGGGGCACGCCCGGACCGGGGCUGGGCGGCUCCGGCGAAGGUGGCGGCGCACCAGGCGCGGGGCUGGGAGGCGCAGGCGACGGCGGGGGCACGCCCGGCGCGGGGCUGGGCGGCUCCGGCGAAGGAGGCGGCGUGCCAGGCGCAGGGCUGGGAGGCGCAGGCGACGGCGGGGGCACACCCGGUCCGGGGCUGGGCGGCUCCGGCGAAGGCGGCGGCGUGCCAGGCGCAGGGCUGGGAGGCGCAGGCGACGGCGGGGGCACACCCGGCGCGGGGCUGGGCGGCUCCGGCGAAGGCGGCGGCGUGCCAGGCGCAGGGCUGGGAGGCGCAGGCGACGGCGGGGGCACACCCGGCGCGGGGCUGGGCGGCUCCGGCGAAGGCGGCGGCGUGCCAGGCGCAGGGCUGGGAGGCGCAGGCGACGGCGGGGGCACACCCGGCGCGGGGCUGGGCGGCUCCGGCGAAGGCGGUGGCGUGCCAGGCGCAGGGCUGGGAGGCGCAGGCGACGGCGGGGGCACACCCGGCGCGGGGCUAGGCGGCUCUGGCGAAGGCGGCGGCGUACCAGGCGCAGGGCUGGGAGGCGCAGGCGACGGCGGGGGCACACCCGGACCGGGGCUGGGCGGCUCCGGCGAAGGUGGCGGCGUGCCAGGCGCGGGGCUGGGAGGCGCAGGCGACGGCGGGGGCACACCCGGCGCGGGGCUGGGCGGCUCCGGCGAAGGCGGCGCAGGGCUGGGAGGCGCAGGGCUGGGAGGCGCAGGCGACGGCGGGGGCACACCCGGCGCAGGGCUGGGCGGCUCCGGCGAAGGCGGUGGCGUGCCAGGCGCAGGGCUGGGAGGCGCAGGCGACGGCGGGGGCACACCCGGCGCGGGGCUAGGCGGCUCUGGCGAAGGCGGCGCAGGGCUGGGAGGCGCAGGGCUGGGAGGCGCAGGCGACGGCGGGGGCACACCAGGUCCGGGGCUGGGCGGCUCCGGCGAAGGCGGCGGCGUGCCAGGCGCAGGGCUGGGAGGCGCAGGCGACGGAGGGGGCACACCCGGCGCGGGGCUGGGCGGCUCCGGCGAAGGCGGCGGCGUGCCAGGCGCAGGGCUGGGAGGCGCAGGCGACGGAGGGGGCACACCCGGCGCGGGGCUGGGCGGCUCCGGCGAAGGCGGCGGCGUGCCAGGCGCAGGGCUGGGAGGCGCAGGCGACGGCGGGGGCACACCCGGACCGGGGCUGGGCGGCUCCGGCGAAGGCGGCGGCGUGCCAGGCGCAGGGCUGGGAGGCGCAGGCGACGGCGGGGGCACACCCGGCGCGGGGCUAGGCGGCUCUGGCGAAGGCGGCGCAGGGCUGGGAGGCGCAGGGCUGGGAGGCGCAGGCGACGGCGGGGGCACACCCGGCGCGGGGCUGGGCGGCUCCGGCGAAGGAGGCGGCGUGCCAGGCGCAGGGCUGGGAGGCGCAGGCGACGGAGGGGGCACACCCGGCGCGGGGCUGGGCGGCUCCGGCGAAGGCGGCGGCGCGCCAGGCGCAGGGCUAGGAGGCGCAGGCGACGGCGGGGGCACACCCGGCGCAGGGCUGGGCGGCUCUGGCGAAGGAGGCGGCGUGCCAGGCGCAGGGCUGGGAGGCGCAGGCGACGGAGGGGGCACACCCGGCGCGGGGCUGGGCGGCUCCGGCGAAGGCGGCGGCGCGCCAGGCGCAGGGCUAGGAGGCGCAGGCGACGGCGGGGGCACACCCGGCGCGGGGCUGGGCGGCUCCGGCGAAGGCGGCGGCGUGCCAGGCGCAGGGCUGGGAGGCGCAGGCGACGGCGGGGGCACACCAGGUCCGGGGCUAGGCGGCUCUGGCGAAGGCGGCGGCGUGCCAGGCGCAGGGCUGGGAGGCGCAGGCGACGGAGGGGGCACACCCGGCGCGGGGCUGGGCGGCUCCGGCGAAGGCGGCGGCGUGCCAGGCGCAGGGCUGGGAGGCGCAGGCGACGGCGGGGGCACACCCGGCGCGGGGCUGGGCGGCUCCGGCGAAGGCGGCGGCGUGCCAGGCGCAGGGCUGGGAGGCGCAGGCGACGGCGGGGGCACACCCGGCGCGGGGCUAGGCGGCUCCGGCGAAGGCGGCGGAGUACCAGGCGCAGGGCUGGGAGGCGCAGGCGACGGCGGGGGCACACCAGGUCCGGGGCUGGGCGGCUCCGGCGAAGGAGGCGGCGUGCCAGGCGCAGGGCUGGGAGGCGCAGGCGACGGAGGGGGCACACCCGGCGCGGGGCUGGGCGGCUCCGGCGAAGGCGGCGGCGCGCCAGGCGCAGGGCUAGGAGGCGCAGGCGACGGCGGGGGCACACCCGGCGCAGGGCUGGGCGGCUCCGGCGAAGGAGGCGGCGUGCCAGGCGCAGGGCUGGGAGGCGCAGGCGACGGCGGGGGCACACCCGGCGCGGGGCUAGGCGGCUCUGGCGAAGGCGGCGCAGGGCUGGGAGGCGCAGGGCUGGGAGGCGCAGGCGACGGCGGGGGCACACCCGGCGCGGGGCUGGGCGGCUCCGGCGAAGGCGGCGGCGUGCCAGGCGCAGGGCUGGGAGGCGCAGGCGACGGCGGGGGCACACCCGGCGCAGGGCUGGGCGGCUCCGGCGAAGGCGGCGGCGUGCCAGGCGCAGGGCUGGGAGGCGCAGGCGACGGAGGGGGCACACCCGGCGCGGGGCUAGGCGGCUCCGGCGAAGGCGGCGGCGUGCCAGGCGCAGGGCUGGGAGGCGCAGGCGACGGCGGGGGCACACCCGGCGCGGGGCUGGGCGGCUCCGGCGAAGGCGGCGGCGUGCCAGGCGCAGGGCUGGGAGGCGCAGGCGACGGCGGGGGCACACCCGGCGCGGGGCUGGGCGGCUCCGGCGAAGGUGGCGGAGUACCAGGCGCAGGGCUGGGAGGCGCAGGCGACGGCGGGGGCACACCCGGCGCAGGGCUGGGCGGCUCCGGCGAAGGCGGCGGCGUGCCAGGCGCAGGGCUAGGAGGCGCAGGCGACGGAGGGGGCACACCCGGCGCGGGGCUAGGCGGCUCCGGCGAAGGUGGCGGCGUACCAGGCGCAGGGCUGGGAGGCGCAGGCGACGGCGGGGGCACACCCGGCGCGGGGCUGGGCGGCUGCGGCGAAGGUGGCGGCGUACCAGGCGCAGGGCUGGGAGGCGCAGGCGACGGCGGGGGCACACCCGGCGCGGGGCUAGGCGGCUCCGGCGAAGGCGGCGGAGUACCAGGCGCAGGGCUGGGAGGCGCAGGCGACGGCGGGGGCACACCCGGCGCGGGGCUAGGCGGCUCCGGCGAAGGCGGCGGAGUACCAGGCGCAGGGCUGGGAGGCGCAGGCGACGGCGGGGGCACACCCGGCGCGGGGCUAGGCGGCUCCGGCGAAGGUGGCGGAGUACCAGGCGCAGGGCUGGGAGGCGCAGGCGACGGCGGGGGCACACCAGGUCCGGGGCUGGGCGGCUCCGGCGAAGGUGGCGGCGUGCCAGGCGCAGGGCUGGGAGGCGCAGGCGACGGCGGGGGCACACCCGGCGCGGGGCUGGGCGGCUGCGGAGAAGGAGGCGGCGUGCCAGGCGCAGGGCUGGGAGGCGCAGGCGACGGCGGGGGCACACCCGGCGCGGGGCUGGGCGGCUCCGGCGAAGGCGGCGGCGCGCCAGGCGCAGGGCUGGGAGGCGCAGGCGACGGCGGGGGCACACCCGGCGCGGGGCUAGGCGGCUCUGGCGAAGGCGGCGGCGUGCCAGGCGCAGGGCUGGGAGGCGCAGGCGACGGAGGGGGCACACCCGGCGCGGGGCUGGGCGGCUCCGGCGAAGGCGGCGGCGUGCCAGGCGCAGGGCUGGGAGGCGCAGGCGACGGAGGGGGCACACCCGGCGCGGGGCUGGGCGGCUCCGGCGAAGGCGGCGGCGUGCCAGGCGCAGGGCUGGGAGGCGCAGGCGACGGCGGGGGCACACCCGGCGCGGGGCUGGGCGGCUCCGGCGAAGGCGGCGGCGUGCCAGGCGCAGGGCUGGGAGGCGCAGGCGACGGCGGGGGCACACCCGGCGCGGGGCUAGGCGGCUCCGGCGAAGGCGGCGGAGUACCAGGCGCAGGGCUGGGAGGCGCAGGCGACGGCGGGGGCACACCAGGUCCGGGGCUGGGCGGCUCCGGCGAAGGAGGCGGCGUGCCAGGCGCAGGGCUGGGAGGCGCAGGCGACGGCGGGGGCACACCCGGCGCGGGGCUGGGCGGCUCCGGCGAAGGCGGCGGAGUACCAGGCGCAGGGCUGGGAGGCGCAGGCGACGGCGGGGGCACACCCGGCGCGGGGCUAGGCGGCUCCGGCGAAGGCGGCGGAGUACCAGGCGCAGGGCUGGGAGGCGCAGGCGACGGCGGGGGCACACCCGGCGCGGGGCUAGGCGGCUCCGGCGAAGGCGGCGGCGUACCAGGCGCAGGGCUGGGAGGCGCAGGCGACGGCGGGGGCACACCCGGCGCGGGGCUAGGCGGCUCCGGCGAAGGUGGCGGCGUACCAGGCGCAGGGCUGGGAGGCGCAGGCGACGGCGGGGGCACACCCGGCGCGGGGCUGGGCGGCUCCGGCGAAGGAGGCGGCGUGCCAGGCGCAGGGCUGGGAGGCGCAGGCGACGGAGGGGGCACACCCGGCGCGGGGCUGGGCGGCUCCGGCGAAGGCGGCGGCGUGCCAGGCGCAGGGCUGGGAGGCGAAGGCGAAGGCGGGGGCACACCCGGACCGGGGCUGGGCGGCUCCGGCGAAGGCGGCGCAGGGGUGGGAGGCGCAGGGCUGGGAGGCGCAGGCGACGGCGGGGGCACACCCGGCGCGGGGCUGGGCGGCUCCGGCGAAGGCGGUGGCGUGCCAGGCGCAGGGCUGGGAGGCGCAGGCGACGGCGGGGGCACACCCGGCGCGGGGCUAGGCGGCUCUGGCGAAGGCGGCGCAGGGCUGGGAGGCGCAGGGCUGGGAGGCACAGGCGACGGCGGGGGCACACCCGGUGCGGGGCUGGGCGGCUCCGGCGAAGGCGGCGCAGGGCUGGGAGGCGCAGGGCUGGGAGGCGAAGGCGAAGGCGGGGGCACACCCGGUCCGGGGCUGGGCGGCUCCGGCGAAGGUGGCGGCGUGCCAGGCGCAGGGCUGGGAGGCGCAGGCGACGGCGGGGGCACACCCGGCGCGGGGCUGGGCGGCUCCGGCGAAGGCGGUGGCGUGCCAGGCGCAGGGCUGGGAGGCGCAGGCGACGGCGGGGGCACACCCGGCGCGGGGCUGGGCGGCUCCGGCGAAGGUGGCGGCGUGCCAGGCGCAGGGCUGGGAGGCGCAGGCGACGGCGGGGGCACACCCGGCGCAGGGCUGGGCGGCUCCGGCGAAGGCGGCGGCGUGCCAGGUGCAGGGCUGGGAGGCGCAGGCGACGGCGGGGGCACGCCCGGCGCGGAGCUGGGCGGCUCCGGCGAAGGCGGCGGCGUGCCAGGCGCAGGGCUGGGAGGCGCAGGCGACGGCGGGGGCACACCCGCCGCGGGGCUGGGCGGCUCCGGCGAAGGCGGCGGCGUGCCAGGCGCAGGGCUGGGAGGCGCAGGCGACGGCGGGGGCACACCCGGCGCGGGGCUGGGCGGCUCCGGCGAAGGUGGCGGCGUGCCAGGCGCAGGGCUGGGAGGCGCAGGCGACGGCGGGGGCACACCCGGCGCGGGGCUAGGCGGCUCUGGCGAAGGCGGCGCAGGGCUGGGAGGCGCAGGGCUGGGAGGCGCAGGCGACGGCGGGGGCACACCCGGUGCGGGGCUGGGCGGCUCCGGCGAAGGCGGCGGAGUACCAGGCGCAGGGCUGGGAGGCGCAGGCGACGGCGGGGGCACGCCCGGACCGGGGCUAGGCGGCUCUGGCGAAGGUGGCGGCGUACCAGGCGCGGGGCUGGGAGGCGCAGGCGACGGCGGGGGCACGCCCGGCGCGGGGCUGGGCGGCUCCGGCGAAGGAGGCGGCGUGCCAGGCGCAGGGCUGGGAGGCGCAGGCGACGGCGGGGGCACACCCGGUCCGGGGCUGGGCGGCUCCGGCGAAGGCGGCGGCGUGCCAGGCGCAGGGCUGGGAGGCGCAGGCGACGGCGGGGGCACACCCGGCGCGGGGCUGGGCGGCUCCGGCGAAGGCGGCGGCGUGCCAGGCGCAGGGCUGGGAGGCGCAGGCGACGGCGGGGGCACACCCGGCGCGGGGCUGGGCGGCUCCGGCGAAGGCGGCGGCGUGCCAGGCGCAGGGCUGGGAGGCGCAGGCGACGGCGGGGGCACACCCGGCGCGGGGCUGGGCGGCUCCGGCGAAGGCGGUGGCGUGCCAGGCGCAGGGCUGGGAGGCGCAGGCGACGGCGGGGGCACACCCGGCGCGGGGCUAGGCGGCUCUGGCGAAGGCGGCGGCGUACCAGGCGCAGGGCUGGGAGGCGCAGGCGACGGCGGGGGCACACCCGGACCGGGGCUGGGCGGCUCCGGCGAAGGUGGCGGCGUGCCAGGCGCGGGGCUGGGAGGCGCAGGCGACGGCGGGGGCACACCCGGCGCGGGGCUGGGCGGCUCCGGCGAAGGCGGCGCAGGGCUGGGAGGCGCAGGGCUGGGCGGCUCCGGCGAAGGCGGCGGCGUGCCAGGCGCAGGGCUGGGAGGCGAAGGCGAAGGCGGGGGCACACCCGGCGCGGGGCUGGGCGGCUCCGGCGAAGGUGGCGGCGUGCCAGGCGCAGGGCUGGGAGGUGCAGGCGACGGCGGGGGCACACCCGGCGCGGGGCUGGGCGGCUCCGGCGAAGUCGGCGGCGUGCCAGGCCUUUCCAGCACANNNNNNNNNNNNNNNNNNNNNNNNNNNNNNNNNNNNNNNNNNNNNNNNNNNNNNNNNNNNNNNNNNNNNNNNNNNNNNNNNNNNNNNNNNNNNNNNNNNNGGGCACCACAGGCGCGGGGCUAGGCGGCUCCGGCGAAGGCGGCGGAGUACCAGGCGCAGGGCUGGGAGGCGCAGGCGACGGCGGGGGCACACCCGGCGCGGGGCUAGGCGGCUCCGGCGAAGGUGGCGGCGUACCAGGCGCAGGGCUGGGAGGCGCAUGCGACGGCGGGGGCACACCAGGUCCGGGGCUGGGCGGCUCCGGCGAAGGCGGCGGCGUGCCAGGCGCAGGGCUGGGAGGCGCAGGCGACGGAGGGGGCACACCCGGCGCGGGGCUGGGCGGCUCCGGCGAAGGCGGCGGCGUGCCAGGCGCAGGGCUGGGAGGCGCAGGCGACGGAGGGGGCACACCCGGCGCGGGGCUGGGCGGCUCCGGCGAAGGCGGCGGCGUGCCAGGCGCAGGGCUGGGAGGCGCAGGCGACGGCGGGGGCACACCCGGCGCGGGGCUGGGCGGCUCCGGCGAAGGCGGCGGCGUGCCAGGCGCAGGGCUGGGAGGCGCAGGCGACGGCGGGGGCACACCCGGCGCGGGGCUAGGCGGCUCCGGCGAAGGCGGCGGAGUACCAGGCGCAGGGCUGGGAGGCGCAGGCGACGGCGGGGGCACACCAGGUCCGGGGCUGGGCGGCUCCGGCGAAGGAGGCGGCGUGCCAGGCGCAGGGCUGGGAGGCGCAGGCGACGGAGGGGGCACACCCGGCGCGGGGCUGGGCGGCUCCGGCGAAGGCGGCGGCGCGCCAGGCGCAGGGCUAGGAGGCGCAGGCGACGGCGGGGGCACGCCCG